GAUGAAGAACGUAGCGAAAUGCGAUAAGUAGUGUGAAUUGCAGAAUUCCGUGAAUCAUCGAAUCUUUGAACGCACAUUGCGCCCUCUGGUAUUCCGGGGGGCAUGCCUGUCCGAGCGUCAUUUGCAACCCUCAAGCCCGGCUUGUGUGAUGGGUGCCGUCCCCUACGGGACGCGCCCCGAAGGCAAUGGCGGCGUCGCGGUUAUCCGAUCAGCCAAAGUGUAUGGGGCUUUGUCACUCACUUUACGGCCCGGACCGGCGCCAGUCCGAAUCAAUCUUUUUUCUAAAGUUGACCUCGGAUCAGGUAGGGAUACCCGCUGAACUUAAGCAUAUCAUAAGCGGAGGA
rnacentral:misc_RNA from 1 species